GUAGCUACGAAAUACAACAGGAAGAGCUGCUCCAGGAACGGGGAAGUCUGCAUGUUUUUCACUUCGCUGCAGGCGCUCCUGCGUUCGGGGCUCAGAGCCACCAGCCCACGGCGCUGAGCGGCUGCCGGGAAGUGGGAAGCGGGCUGAGAAGGUGCCAGAACACAUGGCGUUAACCGCGGCUCCUCGAGGACAACAGAGAAUGGAAAGGACAGUCUGGUAUACUUUGUGUGAUAAAGUCACUGAAGGAAUAUGAGCUUUGCCUGGGGGAUGCAAUUCUGGAGAAGUUUGGACUCUAGAGCAUCAGGAGGGUUCCCGGUGUUGACUGUGCCCAUAGGAGAACCAUGACUUAGAAUCUCUAAAUCUUUGAUCAACAUGCACUGGUGUCUUAGCGUCUCAGGGAGGUUACCUGGAGGACUCUCCAUUCAUCACCAGGCAGGGUGGUGGCCCCAGCCCAGGUGUCAUUUCCUGGGGAGCUACAUGUGAGCCACGUCUAUAGCCUAGACAACACCUGCAUUCCUUUCCCCUUGGGCUCUUCUAGUUGGGACUGGGCACAGAACUCCUCUAAGGUGGGAG